rnacentral:ncRNA from 4 species
GGGCAUGCCUGUUCGAGCGUCAUU